CUUCAGGCAAAGGCGUCACCCAAGCUACCUUAGUUGAUGAAACUAAAGUUGCUUCCUGAGCAUUACUGUCCUGUACAUUGCUGGAUGAGUUGGCUUUGCAUCUGUGGCCAAUUUGGCUAUCUGCAAGUGAUUUACUGUGCUCUGAAAUGCAGCUGCUUCAUCUAUGGCAUCUGAUCUGGGACCACCACUGGGAGUCGUCCUUGCUGAAAGUGAGGGAGAGAUUAAAGCCAGCUGAAGAAAAAAGGGGUUAUUUUUAUGGUCAUUCUGGAUAGUGUUUUUCCAUUAAUUCUUUUCAUAAAAGAUGGAAAACCCUAAUUUUCUGAAGCAUCUGAGAUCCAAUUUUUUUUCUGGUGGUUUCCUUUCAGUAGUGAAUUAUUGGGAGAUGGCAGGAAGACAUGCAGAGGGCUGCCUCUUCUGAAGCCUGUGCAAGAUAUUUCAAAGUAAGAAUUAAAAACCCCAACAUUUUUGUGAGCACUCAGGCCUGAAUUAGCAGGGCAAAUUCAUUUGGAUGCAUUUGAUCUUGAUGAUUUGAAGGCAGCAACCCUUCAAGUCCUUGUGGGAAACCCCACAGGGACAAGCUGAGAAACAGCAGGAAUCCCAUCUCCCUUUUCUCUUAUUUUCUCAUAGUUAUCUGAGAUACACUGACUACCCCUCAGAAAGAUUUAGUUACCGUGUUUGCUGGCAGCAGAGUGUGUGUCAUGUAUGAAUGUGUAUCUGAGCUUUGCUAAAUCUGAAGAUGUCAGAAGAGCCUGUAUUCCACACGUGGGCAUUGUGCAGCCUCUGAGAAGACGAGCAUUCCUCAAGCAAGCAUGGAAGCAAAUGUCAUCCGCAGUUCUGUGUCUGACAGAAAGGUCAGGUUUCUUCUGGAAGAGGCUGUGCUGCAGGAUGCCUGGUACCUCUCUGCUUGGCUGUCACAGGAAGCAACACUCGCCAGCACCAAAUGCAGCACCAACAAAUGUGUCAGGCAUUCAAACCACUGGUAUGCCGGGAAAAUGGAGCCUCCAGGAGCAACACAGGGACAUCUGUGGAAAUCCUCACUGA
rnacentral:lncRNA from 1 species